rnacentral:lncRNA from 12 species
CUGCUUUCCGUCCACUGUGCCAUCGAGCUGGUAAACAAAUACCCUGCUGGCCCAUGAAGGCCAUUUGCUUGCUAGCCAUUCAAGGAGGGGGAUGUUCUGGCUUUAGGAUAGAUUUAGGGGAGCAAGCCGGUGACCACUGCGCCCUCCAGUGAUCUCUGAUGAUAUGCGGGGAUAAUGGGUUACAAAGACAGACAUUAAUAAGCAUUGGGAACGUGUUAGGAGAAGACGCAAAAUGCGGUAAUCCUGCUAAGGUUGGAGAAAUCCUGACUGAGUUGCAGCAAGAAAACAGCUUGUUAAACACCAGCCGGGCAGAAGUUUUCGUCUCAUUGGAACGCUACUUACUCAAUGCUUGAACAGCUCUUGGAACAGCAGGAACCUGGGAGUGUCUCUGGAUACAAAAGGCAAGCAUGGUAGAUGUUAAACUGGCAUUCAUUUAUUGGAAUCCAUGUUGGAUACUUCUCUCAUUUCUCUCCUGGGAAGACCUUGCUGGUGGUAGCUUUGAGUUAGAUACACUCAUAUUUCAGACACUUAGGCCUCUUGCUUAGAGGGAAGAUAGGCCAGAUUUGAAAAUGAAGUUGAUAUUCCUGUCAUAGCACUAACAAAAGAUGUUCUCGCAAACACAGAGGGGGAGGGAGAGACGGGAGAGAGAGAGUUUUUUGUUUUUGUUUUUGUUUUCAUUUUUAGCGGAGAAAAAUGUCACAUGCCUUUGAUCCACA